CCGAAUGCAGCCAGUGCUGUAGUCCAGGUGCGAGUCCGAAUGCAGCCAGUGCUGUAGUCCAGGUGCGAGUCCGAAUGCAGCGAAUGCAGCCAGUGCUGUAGUCCAGGUGCGAGUCCGAAUGCAGCCAGUGCUGUAGUCCAGGUGCGAGUCCGAAUGCAGCCAGUGCUGUAGUCCAGGUGCGAGUCCGAAUGCAGCGAAUGCAGCCAGUGCUGUAGUCCAGGUGCGAGUCCGAAUGCAGCGAAUGCAGCCAGUGCUGUAGUCCAGGUGCGAGUCCGAAUGCAGCGAAUGCAGCCAGUGCUGUAGUCCAGGUGCGAGUCCGAAUGCAGCCAGUGCUGUAGUCCAGGUGCGAGUCCGAAUGCAGCGAAUGCAGCCAGUGCUGUAGUCCAGGUGCGAGUCCGAAUGCAGCGAAUGCAGCCAGUGCUGUAGUCCAGGUGCGAGUCCGAAUGCAGCGAAUGCAGCCAGUGCUGUAGUCCAGGUGCGAGUCCGAAUGCAGCGAAUGCAGCCAGUGCUGUAGUCCAGGUGCGAGUCCGAAUGCAGCGAAUGCAGCCAGUGCUGUAGUCCAGGUGCGAGUCCGAAUGCAGCCAGUGCUGUAGUCCAGGUGCGAGUCCGCAUGCAGCCAGUGCUGUAGUCCAGGUGCGAGUCCGCAUGCAGCCAGUGCUGUAGUCCAGGUGCGAGUCAUUGUGCUCAAGCUCAAGUCAAGCCAUGAGUCCUAAAAAUUAGGCCUUGAGUUGGCCUCGAGUCCAAGUCCAAGUGUGGGUGUCUGUCUGUCUGUCUGUCUGUGUGUCUGUGGUACAACAAUUGGCAACAUGAUGGCAAAAAAUUUCUGUUUUUUUUUUUAAGUCAUUAAAAGUGUUCUAUGGAUACAUACAUGUUUGAUGUAACAUUAACUGACUACAAUCUUUCUACAUUUGACCUCUAAAUGUGUUUAUGUUGUUGUUUGGAAAAGAUUAUGUUUACAGUGAACAGAUGACUUUCUCUCUCUGGUAUAUUGUGAUGGUGGCCUAAUGACGUCAGGUCUGAUUGGUUAUGGGCUUUAAGCUUGAGAGAUAAAUCUGUCUGAAAGCACAAUGAUGCUCUCAUGAAACUGUUAACCUCCAACUCAGUGCCCUGAAAUAUUGAUGCAAUACUUUAACUCUUGACUGCAAUAAAGUCUUGACUGCAAGACAUUUAUAGUGAAAAA